rnacentral:rRNA from 1 species
GUCUCCUACGGGGCGCAGCAGUGAGGAAUAUUGGUCAAUGGGAGAGAUCCUGAACCUGCCAAGCCGCGUGAGGGAAGACGGCCCUAUGGGUUGUAAACCUCUUUUGUCGGAGAACAAAACCCGGGACGUGUCCCGGACUGCGUGUAUCCGAAGGAAAAGCAUCGGCUAACUCCGUGCCAGCAGCCGCGGUAAUACGGAGGAUGCGAGCGUUAUCCGGAUUUAUUGGGUUGAAAGGGUGCGUAGGCGGUCCGUUAAGUCAGCGGUAAAAUUGCGUGGCUCAACCCCGUCGAGCCGGUGAAACUGGG